rfam:Rhizobium sp. CF142 PMI11_contig_34.34, whole genome shotgun sequence.
CUUCCUCGAUCUGCUGCGGCGCGAUGAAAUGGAUAUGGCUGUCCAUGCCGCCGGCCGUGAUGAUCUUGCCUUCGCCGGCAAUCGCUUCCGUGCCCGGACCGACGAUGAUAUUGACGCCCGGCUGCAUAUCCGGAUUGCCGGCCUUGCCGAUCGCGGCAAUGCGCCCGUCCUUCAGGCCGAUAUCAGCCUUGUAGAUACCGGUAUGGUCGAUGAUGACGGCAUUGGUGAUGACGGUAUCGACCGCGCCAUCUGCCCGCGUCACCUGGCUCUGGCCCAUGCCGUCACGGAUG